GAUGAACGCUGGCGGCGUGCCUAAUACAUGCAAGUCGAGCGAACAGAUGAGGAGCUUGCUCCUCUGACGUUAGCGGCGGACGGGUGAGUAACACGUGGAUAACCUACCUAUAAGACUGGGAUAACUUCGGGAAACCGGAGCUAAUACCGGAUAAUAUAUUGAACCGCAUGGUUCAAUAGUGAAAGACGGUUUUGCUGUCACUUAUAGAUGGAUCCGCGCCGCAUUAGCUAGUUGGUAAGGUAACGGCUUACCAAGGCAACGAUGCGUAGCCGACCUGAGAGGGUGAUCGGCCACACGGGAACUGAGACACGGUCCAGACUCCUACGGGAGGCAGCAGUAGGGAAUCUUCCGCAAUGGGCGAAAGCCGGACGGAGCAACGCCGCGUGAGUGAUGAAGGUCUGCGGAUCGUAAAACUCUGUUAUUAGGGAAGAACAAAUGUGUAAGUAACUAUGCACGUCUUGACGGUACCUAAUCAGAAAGCCACGGCUAACUACGU
rnacentral:rRNA from 1 species